rnacentral:rRNA from 1 species
UACGUAGGGUGCGAGCGUUGUCCUGAAUUACUGGGCGUAAAGAGCUCGUAGGUGGUUUGUCGCGUUGUUCGUGAAAACUCACAGCUUAACUGUGGGCGUGCGGGCGAUACGGGCAGACUGGAGUACUGCAGGGGAGACUGGAAUUCCUGGUGUAGCGGUGGAAUGCGCAGAUAUCAGGAGGAACACCGAUGGCGAAGGCAGGUCUCUGGGCAUUAACUGACGCUGAGGAGCGAAAGCAUGGGGAGCGAACAGG